UAAAUUUAAAAAACGUUUGAUUUUUUGGCUCUUUUUCCUUUUUCGUUUCUCCUUCUAGAACUCAAAGGGCGGGCAGCCGAGAGGUUAUCUUGCUCUAGUUUUCCUUUCGUCUCCUAAUUUCCAGUUGCUUUUGUGGCGGGUGAUUUCUCUUUCACUUCUGUUUGGUUCCUGAGAAAUUAUAAGGAAAAGAAAAAAAAAAAAGAGAAUACAAGAUGUGAGUAUAUCAUUUUUUCGUUUAUUAUGUAAUAUUACGUUUCGUUGAUCUUAUCUGAUUUUGAUUGGAAUUGUUAUUAGAUUGUAGGAUUUUAUUUAUCCAUCCUCAGUUUAAUUCAUUUUAAUAGUUCCUGUAACAUUUGGAUAAGUUAUGAUUCUUUAGCUUCUCGUGUUUUGAUCCUGGAUGGUUUAUGAACAUUGUUGAUCUUAUCCGAUUUUGAUUAGUAUUGCAAAUAUUUUGUAGGAAUUUAUGUAUCCGUUCACAGUUUAAUUCAUUUUUCUGGUACUUGUUUGGAAUCUGUGUAUACUUUAUUAUUCUUAGCUUCUAAGUUUUCGAUCUAGAAUGGUUAAUGGUUUCUUUUACACUAGGGUUCCAUGAGUUAGUUUUUUUGUUUUAUUUUCCUUUUUCAUUAACUAGACUACAGGAUAUAACACUUAUCCAAUUUCCUUUUUGUGUUUUCUUUUGGUAUUAUACUUGUAAAUUUUUUUUGUUGUUGAUGGAGCUUGUCUUUUACCGCCUACAAUGGGUGUUUGUUGUUUUUUUUGUUGUUGUUGUUUAAAUUGUAUGAUCCGAAUUAAUAAAUUUUCCUUUAACAAAAAAUCAUGCUUAUUGGCCUAAGGGUUUACUUACCUUAAUGUUGUGAUGUUUGGUUUUAACUGGUGAUACAAGAUCAAAUGGUGAGGAUAUUCAGCUACUUGUAUUUUGAUGUGAUAACGGAACCGGAAUGGUUAAGAUAACAAGUUAUCUGGUGGUGCUCUGAGAGUUUUGUUUUAGAUUCGCAUAUGUUUUUUUUUCCGCGAUACAUUUUGCUCUUUUUAGGCUGGAUUUUGUGAGACGAUGCUCCAAGAGCCGAGUUCCCUGGCAUUGUGGGGUCGUGCAUGACACACGGGUGUUCAUCUGUCAGAAAGAUGCAUAUGUUGCUGAUGAGGCUCAAUCCAAGUAAAUACCCUAUUGAGCAAGGUAUUGUUAAUAACUGGGAUGAUAUGCAAAACAUUUGGCACCAUACCUUCUACAAUUAACUCUGUGGGGCUACAGAAGAAUACCCUUUUCUUCCUGUCAACCUGAAAGCCAACAGGAUGAAAAUCAAAUCAUGUUUGAGACCACCUUCAAUGCUCCUGUCAUAAAGGAAUGUUAAUAUCAAGAAGGAUAGUAUGGAGACAUUGUUCUCAGUGGUGGAUCUACUAUGUUCCCAGAAUCCCAGGAAUUGCAGACAGAAUGAGAAAGGAAGUCAUGGCCUAAGCAUAAAAAUUAAGGCGGUGGCUUCCACCAGAAAGGAAUAUAGCUUCUGGAUUGGAGGAUCCAUCUUAGUAUCUCUGAGUACCAGGUUUUUUGACCCCAUGUCCUUCAUUGAAACAGCUCCAAGACUUGAAAUUCUCAUGUUUGUUUCCUACCUCAAAAGGUGCGUUGUCAUUGUAGUGCUUUGAAUUGUGAGUUUCAUUAUGGUUGAAGUCAGAAUUACUUCUUCCAUAUGGUGAAUCCUUUAAAUUUCCUUUUUCUGACGAGGAUCUAUAGCUGAAACUCCCAAAACCUUGGAUCCCUCUUGUCAGCUUCCGAGCUCGGGCUCUCUCUUCUUUCAAAACAGGUCCUUUCUGAAGCAAUUUCAGUAUUCUCUCUGAUUUGUUUCUAACAGCUAAACCCCAAUUGAAUCUGCAGAUUAAAAAAGUUAAAGAUCAUACAAAUGCAAAGACAAAUGAAAAAUGAAGUUUUUAGGACAAACCCUUUCUCAUCUAUGCAUUGGAAGCCUUGCAUCUUUAUUAUAACAUCUUUAUCACCCUGAAACUCCUCUGCUGUACUCUCUGGUCCAUGAGUUAACAAAUGCUCAAGAACUAUCAGAGAAUUGUAAGAGAUUCGCCAAUUCUUUCUUUCAAAUUUCUCCAAUCUGAUUUCAUACAAAGCAAAAAAUCAAAUGGAAUAUCACAUAAAACACAAACUAAAGAAAAUGAAUUAGAGAUAGAUAGUUCAUAAAACACAAACUUAUUGUGUAAAAUCUCAACAAUUCUCCAGUAAUCAUCUAAUUCAAAAGCAGCCCUUGAAAUAGAACCCAGGGUACUGGUGUCUGGUGUCCAUGUAUUCCCAUUUGUAACUUCUUCAGUCAAUCUACCGAAAACAAUAAAAUGAACCCAGAGGAAAUACAAACAAAUUCAAAACUAUAUAUUGGAUUUAAUAUGCCAAAGACAGGAAAUAUGAAAAAGAAAAGAAAAGAAAACUUACAGCUGAGCAGGAGUAACAUCAGUUAAAGCUAACCGAGCAGUUCUAAUCUUUUCCUUGAGAAAAAAUGAAGCUUGUUUCUUGAAUUCAUGGAAUAAAGGAGA